GAGUUUGAUCGUGGCUCAGAGUGAACGCUGGCGGUAGGCCUAACACAUGCAAGUCGAACGGUAACAGGUCUUUCGGGAUGCUGACGAGUGGCGGACGGGUGAGGAAUACAUCGGAAUCUGCUCAGUCGUGGGGGAUAACGCAUGGAAACGUGCGCUAAUACCGCAUACGACCUUCGGGUGAAAGCAGGGGAAUCUUUAGGGAUCCUUGCGCGAUUGAAUGAGCCGAUGUCGGAUUAGCUAGUUGGUAGGGUAAAAGCCUACCAAGGCGACGAUCCGUAGCUGGUCUGAGAGGAUGAUCAGCCACACUGGGACUGAGACACGGCCCAGACUCCUGCGGGAGGCAGCAGUGGGGAAUAUUGGACAAUGGGGGCAACCCUGAUCCAGCCAUACCGCGUGGGUGAAGAAGGCCUUCUGGGUUGUAAAGCCCUUUUGUUGGGGAAGAAAAACAACGGGUUAAUACCCCGUUGGUAUGACGGUACCCAAAGAAUAAGCACCGGCUAACUUCGUGCCAGCAGCCGCGGUAAUACGAAGGGUGCAAGCGUUACUCGGAAUUACUGGGCGUAAAGGGUGCGUAGGUGGUUGCGCCAGUCUGUCGUGAAAGCCCUGGGCUUAACCUGGGAAUGGCGAUGGAAACUGUGCAACUAGAGUGUGACAGAGGGUGGUGGAAUUCCUGGUGUAGCAGUGAAAUGCGUAGAGAUCAGGAGGAACAUUCGUGGCGAAGGCGGCCACCUGGGUCAACACUGACACUGAGGCACGAAAGCGUGGGGAGCAAACAGGAUUAGAUACCCUGGUAGUCCACGCCCUAAACGAUGCGAACUGGAUGUUGGGUCCAACUUGGGAUUCAGUAUCGAAGCUAACGCGUUAAGUUCGCCGCCUGGGGAGUACGGUCGCAAGACUGAAACUCAAAGGAAUUGACGGGGGCCCG
rnacentral:rRNA from 1 species